AAACUGCAUCCCAAUCUCUUCAUUAGAGACGAAGACAUAGCUUGAAAGUGAGACGAGAAGAAAACAGUAGAACAUGAACAUGCAAGCGGAACCAUAAGAGUGUUAAAAGGCAUACUUUUCUUUAAGAUACUACACCACCUUCCAAAUAACAUGGAGACUUCAGGGGCCGUUAGCUUCUUACAGGUAUGCAAUCUUACUUUCUGACACUAAUUGCUAUUUAUCGAGGAAACAGCAAAUUAGUAUUGAUGACAAUUGUGAAUUGAAAUAGAUCGGGCAAAUUCGUGGGGUGAGUUUAAAACAAUGCUUAAAUGCCGAAUGCAAAGAAAGAUCAAUCAGUUGCAAAACCCAUGUAAUUACAGACCCAUAUUACAGACUGAAACCUAAAACCUAUGUAAUUACAGACCCAUAUUAGUAUUCAACCAAGAAAACAUAUACACAGGCAAAACCCAAACCAAUCCCACUAAAUAAUUACAAUUCUAAAGUUGUAAGUGGCAGUCCAAAUGUAAACCCAGAAGAAAACACCUAAGAAUGUUUAGCACUACCCUUUAGCUAUCUCCCUACUGGCCUACUCUUCUUUUGCCUAAUGGAUAAACAGAUUCCAACAACACACAGAUACCACCCUACAGCUAAUCCUUGUUGACACAAUCGGUGUUACAGUCAACUGUAAUUUAAUACUACAGGAAACCUAAAGAGAACAAUGUUCAUGAAUCACCACCAGCCUCAGCGAAUGGAUGAUUAUGUUGUCGUACAAACUGCCCCUUCACCCGAGGCCGCUGCUCUGCCAGUCUUUUCCGGCUUUGAUAUCGAACCUAUACAAGAAAUUAGAGUACUUGUUAAUAAGAUCUUUAGUGAAACAUGCUAUAGGAGUUUCCAAGCCAACUGCAAUCAUAGAUAUAAAUUCACCAUAAAUAAUCUUAAAGUAGCCUUUUACUAAGUGCUGUUUAUGAUACCUUUUUCUCGAAGCAUCUCUCUUUCCGCUUCAGUCGAAACUUCACUAGUGCUGCUUCUCUUUGACUGGAGCGAUGAGAAUCUGUCACUCUAAAUCCAUCAUAAUUAUGACAACCACUAUCACUGAAACCAUCUGAGGUGUUCUUGGAUACUAUAGCUGAAGUAGCAUGUCCAUCAUUUCCACUGUCCAUGCUUCCAUAUGCACUACUAUUAACAUGAUUUGCAGCAUCAUGGCAUAAAUUAUUACCAGCACUCUGAUCAGCAGCAGGAGACUCAUGCCUUGCGUGAUCUGAAUCAG
rnacentral:lncRNA from 1 species